CCCUUAGAUGUUCUGGGCCGCACGCGUGCUACACUGAGUAAUUCAAUGGGUAAGGGAACGCUAGAGCAUUACCUAAUCUUGAAAUUUGCUCGUGAUGGGGAUCGACGGUUGCAAUUUUCCGUCGUGAACGAGGAAUACCUUGUAGGCGCAUGUCAUCAUCAUGCGCCGAAUACGUCCCUGCCCUUUGUACACACCGCCCGUCGCUCCUACCGAUUUAGUGAUCCGGUGAGGCUCUGGGACCUGGACGGAAAGAGCGUUUCGCUUGUUCUGUUUGGGAAACUUGGUCGAACCUUAUCAUUUAGAGGAAGGAGAAGUCGUAACA
rnacentral:rRNA from 1 species